GAAGACCCAGGAGUGGCCAAUGGCAAUGUAGAGGGAAUGUUUGUUGGAUGAAUAAACAGGGAAUAAGCCAAAAUUCCAUCAAUAGAACCAUGAAGUCCAACGGGUUCUGGAAUGGGACCUGACCUCGUGAACAGCAAAUGAGACGAUACCAGCUAAGCCCAGCCAGCACAAUUGGGGUCAAGCAUCAAAAGGCCAGGUGGGAUUGGUCCUGGGAACUGGAAGGAGACCCACUGCAGGUGGAACCCAGCUGCAAAGCGAGAAGUCUGAACUAGAUUCAAAGCCAGUUUCAAAGGUCUCCAUCCUAGACUCAGCUGGUGCUUGAACAAAAACGGUCAGCAUUAACUCAUCAACCUGGAUUCCUGAGGAAGAAGAGCGCCAGCACCGGCACCAUCUCAGAAAUGGCAAACAGCAAAACGAUCGUCUGGUCCAACCACCACUUCUCUUCCACAUUCCCGCCAUGAAAGGGAAAAGCCAUCCUAAACUGCAUCUAGAAUCUCAAGAGACCCUGAAAAGCCAAAACUAUCAUGAAAAAGAACAAAGCUAGAGGACUCACUUGCACCUCCUGAUUUCAAAAUUUAUUUCAAAGCUACAAUAGUCAAAACAGUGUGGUAGGGGCAUAGACACAGACAUAUAGACCAAUGGAAUAGAAGAGAGCACAGAUAUAGACAGUCCAACGAUUCUUAACAGAAGUGUCAAGACCACUCAAUGCGAAAAGGACAGUCUUUUCAAUAAAAGGUGCUGGGAAAACUGGAUAUUUAUAAGCAAAAGAAUGAAGUUGGGCCCUUACUUACCAUUAUGUCCUCAAAAGUUACCUCAAAGUGGAUCAAGGACCUCAAUGUAAGACUUAAAACUAUAAAAUUCUUAGAAGAAAACACAAGGCAAAAACUUCAUGACAUUGGAUCUGGCAAUGAUUUUUUUGUAUAGGACACGAAAGGCACAGGUGGAAAAAGAAAAAAAGAGAAAUUGGACUUCACGAAAAUUUAGACAUUUUGUGCAUCAAAAGAUACUAUAAAGAGAGUAAAAAAAAUAAAGCAAUCUACAGACUAGGACAAAUAUUUACAAAUUUUAUAUCUGAUAAGGGGUUAAU